CCUACGGGAGUCAGCAGUGAGGAAUAUUGGUCAAUGGACGCGAGCCUGAACCAGCCAAGUAGCGUGAAGGAUGACUGCCCUAUGGGUUGUAAACUUCUUUUAUCUGGGAAUAAAGUGCAGCAUGUGUACUGCUUUGCAUGUACCUUAUGAAUAAGGAUCGGCUAACUCCGUGCCAGCAGCCGCGGUAAUACGGAGGAUCCGAGCGUUAUCCGGAUUUAUUGGGUUUAAAGGGAGCGUAGGCGGGUUGUUAAGUCAGUUGUGAAAGUUUGCGGCUCAACCGUAAAAUUGCAGUUGAUACUGGCAGCCUUGAGUACAGUAGAGGUAGGCGGAAUUCGUGGUGUAGCGGUGAAAUGCUUAGAUAUCACGAAGAACUCCGAGUGCGAAGGCAGCCUGCUGGACUGUAACUGACACUGAUGCUCGAAAGUGUGGGUAUCAAACAGGAUUAGAGACCCUUGUAGUC
rnacentral:rRNA from 1 species